rnacentral:rRNA from 1 species
GGAGACUGCCGGUGUCAAACCGGAGGAAGGUGGGGACGACGUCAAGUCAUCAUGGCCCUUACGUCCAGGGCGACACACGUGCUACAAUGGCCGGUACAACGCGUCGCCAACCCGCGAGGGUGCGCUAAUCGCUAAAAGCCGGUCUAAGUUCGGAUUGUAGUCUGCAACUCGACUACAUGAAGCUGGAAUCGCUAGUAAUCGCGGAUCAGCCACGCCGCGGUGAAUACGUUCCCGGGCCUUGUACACACCGCCCGUCACGCCAUGGAAGCUGGGGGGACCUGAAGUCGGUGGGCCAACCGCAAGGGGGCAGCCGCCAAAGGUCAAUUCAGUGACUGGGGCGAAGUCGUAACAAGGUAGCCGUAGGGGAACCUGCGGCUGGAUCACCUCCU